UGGGGAAUUUUGCACAAUGGGGGAAACCCUGAUGCAGCGACGCCGCGUGAUUUAGAAGGCCUUCGGGUUGAAAAAAUCUUUUUUAUGGGAAGAAAAUGACAGUACCAUAGGAAUAAGGACCGGCUAAUUACGAGCCAGCAGCCGCGGUAAUACGUAAGGUCCGAGCGUUGUCCGGAAUCAUUGGGCGUAAAGGGUACGUAGGCGGGUAAGCAAGUUAGAAGUGAAAUCCUGUAGGUCAACUACAGUAAGCUUUUAAAACUGCUCAUCUUGAGAUAUGGAAGGGAAAGUGGAAUUCCUAGUGAAGCGGUGAAAUACGCAGAUAUUAGGAGGAAUACCGGUGGCGAAGGCGACUUUCUGGCCAUAAUCUGACGCUGAGGUACGAAAGCGUGGGUAGCAAACAGG
rnacentral:rRNA from 1 species